GGGGUCGUAGCUCAGUUGGUCAGAGCAGGGGACUCAUAAUCCCUCGGUCGCGGGUUCGAGUCCCGCCGGCCCCA
rnacentral:tRNA from 1 species